rnacentral:sRNA from 1 species
AGAAUUACUUGAACCUGGGAGACAGAGGUUGCCGUGAGCCAAGAUCUCACCAGUGCAGUACAGCGUGGGUGACAGAGCAAGUAAGUAAAGAGGAGGUUUGGAAUUAGAUAUUUGGUGUAUGAAUGAAUGGGCUAAAGUGCGAAAGAACAGGCAGAAUAACUGAGCUGGUACAGAGGAAAAAAAUCACACUUAAAAUCUAAAAGUAUCUGCUUCUCAAUUUGGGCUUUCCCACUUAGCAGCUUUGACACCUUAGAAAGAACACUUAACUUACCUGAGCUUCUAUUACUUCUAAAAAGUGCAUAAAGUGCAGGCUAAGACAUAGUUUUUUUGGCAAAAUUCAGUCAGACUACAUCAAGUAAACUCCCUAAGUCUCCUAGUAUAAUUCAUGGCACAAAAACUGGGGAAAAAACAGGGAGGAUAUGAUUAUAAGUUCAGUUUGGGUUUUUUGUUGAGUGAAUGUCUCCAGUCAUAGAGAUGCAAGUGUAGAUACACAGUAAGAGUAGUAUGAACAGGAGACACCUUGGAAGGCUAUUUCUUCCUUCAUUCAUUCAGUUGGUCACUCAAUGAACUAUCAUGAAUUGAGCACUACCUCUGUUUCUUAUCAACAAAGGAGACUACGGAAAAGAAGAGUGACUAAGAUCUCUGAAGAAGGGAAAAGCUAGAUGACUGGGCCACAAGAGGAAAAAAAGCAGCAAGACAGCUUGAAUGUGAGGCAACUGUGAAAAGUGCAGGGCAGAGCCACCUGGGUAAAUACAGCCCUGGCUUUCUGGUGAGAGGACUGAAACCAGGAUGUGUCAAGUAACUAGAAUGUGCCUGGACAGAUACUGUAGAAAGCAAACCCAUAAAGUUGUUCAUGAGCUUGUGGACGCACCUGCCAGCUGUGAAUAAGUGGGUCUAAUCCCAAACAACUUACCUAAAAAGAGCCUGAGGACUGAACUAAACAAUGGUCCACUUUCCAGUCCUCACUGACCACUGGUUGCACACACUCCAGAGAUCUCUCAUCCGCAGUGUCAAGGCUUUCAAAUAGAGUUAUCUGUGAAACAACAACACAUGGAAGUCUGGUUGGUACUUGGAGCUUAAAUACAAGGCAAUUGUGUGCCUGCAAAAACAAAAA